GUCUAUGGCCAUACCACCCUGAAUGCACCUGAUUGUGUCUGAUCUCAGAAACUAAGCAGGGUUGGGCCGGGUUAAUACUUGGGUGGGAGAAAAAAUAAAAUGUAAGAAAAGCAACUACCUGGGGGAACAGCUCAAACU
rnacentral:rRNA from 1 species